UACGGAGGGGGCUAGCGUUGUCCGAAGUUACUGGGCGUAAAGCGCGCGUAGGCGGGUUGGUAAGUCCGCUGUGAAAGCCCGGAGCUCAACUCCGGAGGGUCGGUGGAUACUGCCAGUCUUGAAGGUGCUAGGGGGAGAUGGAAUUACCGGUGUAGCGGUGAAAUGCGUAGAUAUCGGUAGGAACACCAGUGGCGAAGGCGGUCUCCUGGGGCAUUCUUGACGCUGAGGCGCGAAAGCUGGGGGGGAGCGAACGGGG
rnacentral:rRNA from 1 species